UUGGAGAUGGAGCUUGAUCCCAACACGCGAGAUUCUUCUACAAGAGGAAGCAUCCUGUACCCUGACUGGUUGCAUCGUGAUCUGGAUGGCGAUUCGAAUCCGCAGGAAUGUAAGAAGCUGCAGAGAGUAGUGGAUUCUGCCCAAUACAUCACGGGUACAUCCCUCCCCACCAUCGGUGGUAUCUACAGGAGGUGCUGCCUCAAGAAGGCAACAUCCAUGAUCAAAGAUCCCCACCAUCCGGGCCAUGCCAUUUUUUUUUAUUUACAGCAUGGUAACAGGCCCUUCCGGCCCAACGAGUCCGCGCCGCCCAUUUUAAACCCAAAUUGACCUACCCGUACGUCUUUUAGAAUGUGGGAGGAAACCGGAGCACCCGGAGGAAACUCACGCAGACACGGGAGGACGUACAAACUCCUUACAGACAGCGACGGGAACCGUUGUGCUAACCGCUACGCUACCAUGCUUCUCGCAGCUACCAUCGGGCAGGAGAUACAGAAGCCUGAAGUCCCACACCACCAGGUUCAAGAACAGCUACUUCCCUUCAACCAUUCGGUUCUUGAACCCAUCGGCACAACCCUAAUCACUACCUCAGUAUAGCAACACUAUGACCCUUUGCACUAAAAUGGACUUUGUGAUUUUUUUGUUCUAAUUGUGUUAUUUCUUGUAUAAAUUGUGUUUAAUUUAUGUUUAAAUUAUGCUUUUCUUGUGAAUGCUGCUUAUCUGAUGCUAUGUGCCUGUGAUGCUGCUGCAAGUAAGUUUUUCGUUGCACCUGUGCACACAUGGACUUGUGCAGAUGACAAUAAACUUGACUUUGACUUUGA